rnacentral:rRNA from 1 species
UACGGGGGGGGCAAGCGUUGUUCGGAAUUACUGGGCGUAAAGGGCUCGUAGGCGGCCCUCUCAGUCGGAUGUGAAAUCCCCAGGCUCAACUUGGGAACGGCAUCCGAUACUGGAGGGCUUGAAUUCGGGAGAGGGAUGCAGAAUUCCAGGUGUAGCGGUGAAAUGCGUAGAUAUCUGGAGGAAUACCGGUGGCGAAGGCGGCAUCCUGGACCGAGAUUGACGCUGAGGAGCGAAAGCUAGGGGAGCAAACGGG